UAAUACGUAGGGGGCGAGCGUUGUCCGGAAUCAUUGGGCGUAAAGAGCGUGUAGGUGGACUGGAAGGUCUGGUGUGAAAGCCCGGGGCUCAACCCCGGAGGGUCACUGGAAACCAACAGUCUUGAGUCUGGAAGAGGAGAGUGGAAUUCCUGGUGUAGCGGUGGAAUGCGCAGAUAUCAGGAGGAACACCAAUGGCGAAGGCAGCUCUCUGGUACAUGACUGACACUGAGACGCGAAAGCGUGGGGAGCGAACAGGAUUAGAUACCCUGGUAGUCCACGCCGUAAACGAUGGGCGCUAGGUGUGGGGGGUGUCGACUCCCUCCGUGCCGAAGCUAACGCAUUAAGCGCCCCGCCUGGGGAGUACGGCCGCAAGGCUA
rnacentral:rRNA from 1 species